UACAAAAGGUCAUUGUUGUGUGUUUGGUGUCAGAAAAGAUUUUGGAAAAUUUCAGUUUCAAGACGUUCUUCAUUUCUAAAUCACCUUAAAAGCGGCUGUACUUCAUUUAAUUGAACUACUAAGCUUCUUUCAGUUCCUUAAAUAUUUGUUUGUUCUUCCUUUCCGUGCUUUGCAGAGACUAAGACUUAUGUUUACGUCCCAUACGCCCUCACAUGGUCUGAUGCCAGAAAUUACUGCAGAGCAAACUUCACAGAUUUGCCAACUACUGACAACUCUGUGGUCAAUACAAAGGUCAAAAGUCAAAUACCGUCAAACCUUGUUGUGUGGAUCGGCCUGUACCGACUGGCUUGGAAGUGGUCCGACGGCAGCAGCAGCUCAUUCAGAAACUGGCAGAGUGGAAAGCCAGACAACGAACCAACUGCCAACCAGUACUGCGUCGCUGAAAAUAACCAGCACCAGUGGUACGACGACGACUGUCAGAAUACGUAUGCGUUCAUCUGCCACGAAGAUCAGACAGAAUACACGGCUACUGUGAGGAUAAAGAUCCUGACCAGUGCUGACAUGACAGACCCAGCUACUAACAGCCAGCUGCUUCAGAAGUUGGGUGCAGAGCUACAAGGUCUUGGAGUGCCUUACAUCACACUGAAAUGGAUAAGUCAGCCUAGAAAACAAGAAACGCUCCCAAACUCUCAGUGUACUAAAUAUUUUUAGUAUCUUUCAUCUUCAACCACAAACUCAGUCAGGAUGCACAACUUUUAUCCGUUAAAGUGGAUCAACAGCUGAGGUAAAAAGGACAACUUGCUCAUGAAGCUGCUUAUGUUGCUGGUUUGUCUGACGUUGGCAGUGUCACAUGUAAAUGAAUGUGCUCAGCCCAACACUCCUGUUUGUUGCUUGUUUUGUGAAAGUAGUUUUGAGAUGGAGUACUGUGUCAUAAGCUCAUAAUAUCUGCAAUACUGUAUUAUCAUCCGGUCUGGUUUUGUUAGGGGUUCGGUCUCAACUAAAUCGUAUAAAACUUGCAACAAAACAUCAAUAACAAAAAUGUUAUAUGUAAGGUUUGUGUAAAUUCAAGGAUUAAAUGUCGAAAGUGGUGCUCAAACAUUUAACUUUAUAAUUCCCACUAACACAAGGUCACCUUUGCCAGAUGUCUCAUUUGCAUCCACACCUUUACCA